UACGUAGGGUGCGAGCGUUAAUCGGAAUUACUGGGCGUAAAGCGUGCGCAGGCGGUUCGUUAAGUCAGCUGUGAAAGCCCCGGGCUCAACCUGGGAACUGCGGUUGAAACUGGCGAACUAGAAUCUGGCAGAGGGGGGUGGAAUUCCACGUGUAGCAGUGAAAUGCGUAGAGAUGUGGAGGAACACCGAUGGCGAAGGCAGCCCCCUGGGCUGAGAUUGACGCUCAUGCACGAAAGCGUGGGGAGCAAACAGG
rnacentral:rRNA from 1 species